rnacentral:misc_RNA from 1 species
GUGAAUCAUCGAAUCUUUGAACGCAAAUUGCACUCUCCUCUAAUAGUAUGCCUGUUUGAGUGUCAGCCUAUAAAGAAUCGACAUCGUUGCUGUUUCGCUGUGUCGUUCUUCGGAAAUUGUGGCAUCUUAAAUCCUUUUUAUUGAAGCUACUUAAAAUUUUCUUUUGGUUCCAUGAAUGUUUCUAAUGUCUUUUUCUUUACACGUUUAAGGUAUCAAUUUUUACUAGACGUGACCAUCAUAUCGGAUCGCGUCCAUAAUCUUUCAUUAACUUACCUCUUACAUGUACCAGUACCCUCUGAA